rnacentral:rRNA from 1 species
GGUUAAGCGACUAAGCGUACACGGUGGAUGCCCUGGCAGUCAGAGGCGAUGAAGGACGUGCUAAUCUGCGAAAAGCGUCGGUAAGGUGAUAUGAACCGUUAUAGCCGGCGAUGUCCGAAUGGGGAAACCCAGUGCAAUUCGUUGCACUAUCGUUAACUGAAUACAUAGGUUAACGAGGCGAACCGGGGGAACUGAAACAUCUAAGUACCCCGAGGAAAAGAAAUCAACCGAGAUUCCCCCAGUAGCGGCGAGCGAACGGGGAGCAGCCCGGAGUCUGAAUCAGCUUGUGUGUUAGUGGAAGCGUCUGGAAAGUCGCAGGGUACAGGGUGAUACUCCCGUACACUAAAACACACAGGUUGUGAACUCGAAGAGUAGGGCGGGACACGUGGUAUCCUGUCUGAAUAUGGGGGGACCAUCCUCCAAGGCUAAAUACUCCUGACUGACCGAUAGUGAACCAGUACCGUGAGGGAAAGGCGAAAAGAACCCCGGCGAGGGGAGUGAAAAAGAACCUGAAACCGUGUACGUACAAGCAGUAGGAGCCCACUUGUUGGGUGACUGCGUACCUUUUGUAUAAUGGGUCAGCGACUUAUAUUCUGUAGCAAGGUUAACCGUAUAGGGGAGCCGCAGGGAAACCGAGUCUUAACUGGGCGUUAAGUUGCAGGGUAUAGACCCGAAACCCGGUGAUCUAGCCAUGGGCAGGUUGAAGGUUGGGUAACACUAACUGGAGGACCGAACCGACUAAUGUUGAAAAAUUAGCGGAUGACUUGUGGCUGGGGGUGAAAGGCCAAUCAAACCGGGAGAUAGCUGGUUCUCCCCGAAAGCUAUUUAGGUAGCGCCUCGUGAACUCAUCUUCGGGGGUAGAGCACUGUUUCGGCUAGGGGGUCAUCCCGACUUACCAACCCGAUGCAAACUACGAAUACCGAAGAAUGUUAUCACGGGAGACACACGGCGGGUGCUAACGUCCGUCGUGAAGAGGGAAACAACCCAGACCGCCAGCUAAGGUCCCAAAGUCAUGGUUAAGUGGGAAACGAUGUGGGAAGGCCCAGACAGCCAGGAUGUUGGCUUAGAAGCAGCCAUCAUUUAAAGAAAGCGUAAUAGCUCACUGGUCGAGUCGGCCUGCGCGGAAGAUGUAACGGGGCUAAACCAUGCACCGAAGCUGCGGCAGCGACACUAUGUGUUGUUGGGUAGGGGAGCGUUCUGUAAGCCGUUGAAGGUGGCCUGUGAGGGUUGCUGGAGGUAUCAGAAGUGCGAAUGCUGACAUAAGUAACGAUAAUGCGGGUGAAAAACCCGCACGCCGGAAGACCAAGGGUUCCUGUCCAACGUUAAUCGGGGCAGGGUGAGUCGACCCCUAAGGCGAGGCCGAAAGGCGUAGUCGAUGGGAAACAGGUUAAUAUUCCUGUACUCGGUGUUACUGCGAAGGGGGGACGGAGAAGGCUAUGUUGGCCGGGCGACGGUUGUCCCGGUUUAAGCAUGUAGGCGGAUGUUCCAGGUAAAUCCGGAACGUCACUAACGCUGAGGUGUGAUGACGAGGCACUACGGUGCUGAAGUGACAAAUGCCCUGCUUCCAGGAAAAGCCUCUAAGCAUCAGGUAACAUCAAAUCGUACCCCAAACCGACACAGGUGGUCAGGUAGAGAAUACCAAGGCGCUUGAGAGAACUCGGGUGAAGGAACUAGGCAAAAUGGUGCCGUAACUUCGGGAGAAGGCACGCUGAUGGUAGGUGAAGCGACUUGCUCGUGGAGCUGAAAUCAGUCGAAGAUACCAGCUGGCUGCAACUGUUUAUUAAAAACACAGCACUGUGCAAACACGAAAGUGGACGUAUACGGUGUGACGCCUGCCCGGUGCCGGAAGGUUAAUUGAUGGGGUUAUCCGUAAGGAGAAGCUCUUGAUCGAAGCCCCGGUAAACGGCGGCCGUAACUAUAACGGUCCUAAGGUAGCGAAAUUCCUUGUCGGGUAAGUUCCGACCUGCACGAAUGGCGUAAUGAUGGCCAGGCUGUCUCCACCCGAGACUCAGUGAAAUUGAACUCGCUGUGAAGAUGCAGUGUACCCGCGGCAAGACGGAAAGACCCCGUGAACCUUUACUAUAGCUUGACACUGAACACUGGUCCUUGAUGUGUAGGAUAGGUGGGAGGCUUUGAAGUGUGGACGCCAGUCUGCAUGGAGCCAUCCUUGAAAUACCACCCUUUAAUGGCUGGUGUUCUAACGUGGGCCCCUAAUCGGGGUUGCGGACAGUGUCUGGUGGGUAGUUUGACUGGGGCGGUCUCCUCCUAAAGAGUAACGGAGGAGCACGAAGGUCAGCUAAUCCUGGUCGGACAUCAGGAGGUUAGUGCAAUGGCAUAAGCUGGCUUGACUGCGAGCGUGACGGCGCGAGCAGGUGCGAAAGCAGGUCAUAGUGAUCCGGUGGUUCUGAAUGGAAGGGCCAUCGCUCAACGGAUAAAAGGUACUCCGGGGAUAACAGGCUGAUACCGCCCAAGAGUUCAUAUCGACGGCGGUGUUUGGCACCUCGAUGUCGGCUCAUCACAUCCUGGGGCUGAAGUAGGUCCCAAGGGUAUGGCUGUUCGCCAUUUAAAGUGGUACGCGAGCUGGGUUUAGAACGUCGUGAGACAGUUCGGUCCCUAUCUGCCGUGGGCGCUGGAGAAUUGAGGGGGGCUGCUCCUAGUACGAGAGGACCGGAGUGGACGCAUCACUGGUGUUCGGGUUGUCAUGCCAAUGGCAUUGCCCGGUAGCUAAAUGCGGAAGAGAUAAGUGCUGAAAGCAUCUAAGCACGAAACUUGCCCCGAGAUGAGUUCUCCCUGAC